rnacentral:rRNA from 1 species
GACGAACGCUGGCGGCGUGCUUAACACAUGCAAGUCGAACGGAAAGGCCCUGCUUUUGUGGUGUGCUCGAGUGGCGAACGGGUGAGUAACACGUGAGUAACCUGCCCUUGACUUUGGUAUAACUUCAGGAAACUGGGGCUACUACCGGAUAGGAUCUCCUGCUGCAUGGUGGGGGUUGGAAAGUUUCGGCGGUUGGGGAUGGACUCGCGGCUUAUCAGCUUGUUGGUGGGGUAGUGGCUUACCCAGGCUUUGAAGGGUAGCCGGCCUGAGAGGGUGAACGGCGACAUGGGGACUGAGAUACGGCCCAGACGCCUACGGGAGGCAGCAGGGGGGAAUAUUGCACAAUGGGCGGAAGCCGGAUGCAGAAACGCCGCGUGCGGGAUGACGGCCUUCGGGUUGUAAACCGCUGUCGCCUGUGACGAAGCGUGAGUGACGGUAAUGGGUAAAGAAGCACCGGCUAACUACGUG